GGAAUGAUGAAUAUUCACAUCUCUUUCUAAGGAGCUGACUUUAAAAGGGAAAAGAGACAAAGGAAGAUAGUUUGAGGAAAAGGCAUGACUGAAUGAAGUUUUUUUUUUUUUAAAGGAUGGAGAGGAUCAUGUGAUCAGAAAGAUGAAGAGUUGUUAAUUUCCUCAGAACUCAUCAAUCCCCAAACCCUGGAAUAAGAAAGUGUGCAUCAAUUAUAGAAUUAUUAAAGCCGAAUCCACAAGGGGGAAAUGAAGUUCCUUCCGAUACCUGGGAAGCUGUAAUGCCAGAGUAUUGGUUAAUGGGCAAUUGAAGCAGCUUUGGUAUAAUGGAUGAGAUAUCAUGAUUGCAACUCCUGCCUUCUUUCUAUCAAAAACCUCAACCUUUAAUUCCAACCCUGAUAAGAUAGAAUUCAAGACCCCAAUGGAUCUGGACGCUCUUGCCUCUCAGAAUUGAUUUCACUGUAGUCUAUAUCAGUGGCUGCUGAGGAGAGGAAGAGUCCUGCUUCUAGAUUGCCACCAUGCUUACCCAGAAGUCCUGUGUAUAUCCUUUGAUCCAACAACGCCACUAUUUGUCAAGCAUCCCAAAGAGAUCAACAGAAAAAAGAUCUAUAUGAACAAGAAUACUUAUUAUAGCUCUCUUUUUGUAGCAAAUCAUUAGAAAAAAGAUAAUAAGUGCUUUCCAAAUGGGGAAUUAGUGAAUAAAUUGAGGUAUGAAAAUGUAAAGAUA
rnacentral:lncRNA from 1 species